rnacentral:rRNA from 1 species
GGUUUGAUCCUGGCUCAGAUUGAACGCUGGCGGGAUGUUUACAUGCAAGUCGAACGGCAGCACGGACUUCGGUCUGGUGGCGAGUGGUGAACGGGUGAGUAAUGUAUCGGAACGUGCCUAGUAGCGGGGAUAACUACGCGAAAGCGUAGCUAAUACCGUACACAUUACCCUUCGGGGGAAAGCGGGGACCUUCGCCUCGGCACUAAUAGAGCGGCCGAUAUCGGAUUAGCUAGUUGGUGGGGGUAACGGCUCACCAAGGCGACGAUCCGUAGCUGGUUUGAGAGGACGACCAGCCACAAUGGGACUGAGACACGGCCUGUGAUCCCUACGGGAGGCAGCAGUGGGGAAUUUUGGACAAUGGGGAAACCCCGGAUCCAGCCAUCCCGGCGUGUGCGAUGAAGGCCUUCGGGUUGUAAAGCACUUUUGGCAGGAAAGAAACGGCACGGGAUAAUACCCCGUGCAACUGACGGUACCUGCAGAAUAAGCACCGGCUAACCACGUGUCAGCAGCCGCGGUAAUACGUAGGGAAAGCGUUAAUCGGAAUUACUGGGGCGUAAAGCGUGCGCAGGCGGUUCGGAAAGAAAGAUGUGAAAUCCCAGAGCUUAGAUCUCUUGGAACUGCAUUUUUAACUACCGAGCUAGAGUGUGUCAGAGGGAGGUGGAAUUCCGCGUGUAGCAGUGAAAUGCGUAAAGUGCGGAGGAACACCGAUGGCGAAGGCAGCCUCCUGGGAUAACACUGACGCUCAUGCACGAAAGCGUGGGGAGCAAACAGGAUUAUUACCCUGGUAGUCCACGCCCUAAACGAUGUCAACUAGCUGCUGUGGGGCCUUCGGGCCUUGGUAGCGCAGCUAACGCGUGAAGUUGACCGCCUGGGAGCAUGGUCGCAAGAUUAAAACUCAAAGGAAUUGACGGGGACCCGCACAAGCGGUGGAUGAUGUGGAUUAACUAGAUGCAACGCGAAAAACCUUACCUACCCUUGACAUGUCUGGAAUCCCGAAGAGAUUUGGAGAUAUGCCCGCAAGAGAACCGGAACACAGGUGCUGCAUGGUUGUCGUCAGCUCGUGUCAGAGAUGUUGGGGUUAAGUCCUUGCAACGAGCGCAACCUUGUCAUUAGUUGUUACUGUGCAACGAAUUUAAUGAGAUUGCCGGUGACAAACCGGGAGGAAGGUGGGGAUGACGUCAAGUCCUCAUGGCCCUUAUGGGUAGGGCUUUCAGCACGUCAUACAAUGGUCGGGACAGAGGGUCGCCAACCCGCGAGGGGGAGCCAAUCCCAGAAACCUGAUCGUAGUCUGAUCGCAGUCUGCAACUAGAUCAGUCGGAAUCGCUAGUAAUCGCGGAUCAGCAUGUCGCGGUAAUACGUCUCGGUCUUGUACACACCGCCCGUCAGCACCAUGGGAGUGGGCUUUACCCAGAAGUAGUUAGCCCAACCGUAAGGAGGGCGAUUACCACGGUAUCUUAUGACUGGGGUGAAGUCGCAAAUAAGGUA